rnacentral:rRNA from 1 species
CACGUAGGGGGCGAGCGUUGUCCGGAUUUAUUGGGCGUAAAGAGCUCGUAGGCGGCUCGGUAAGUCGGGUGUGAAACCUCCAGGCUCAACCUGGAGACGCCACUCGAUACUGCCGUGGCUAGAGUCCGGUAGAGGAGCGUAGAAUUCCUGGUGUAGCGGUGAAAUGCGCAGAUAUCAGGAGGAAUACCAGCGGCGAAGGCGGCGCUCUGGGCCGGUACUGACGCUGAGGAGCGAAAGCGUGGGGAGCAAACAGG